rfam:Schistosoma rodhaini strain Burundi genome assembly, scaffold: SROB_scaffold0000144
AUCCAGCUGACGAGUCCCAAAAAAGACGAAACGCUCUUCCUGGAU